rnacentral:rRNA from 1 species
GUCAUCGAAUCUUUGACGCACAUUGCGCCUCUCGGUAUUCCGGGAGGCACGCCUGUUCGAGCGCCAUUACAAACUCCAAGCUGUGCUUGAUGUUGGUCCGGUGUGUAUCGGUAAGUCUUCUUUUUCGGAGGAAGAGUUUUGAGAGACACAGGACUGGAACGCGUUGGCGCCGCCGCCAGACCACGAGCGUAGCAAGACGAGAGUCAAGAAAUCGCCUCGGGUUGGAUCUGACGGACGGUGGCCUGGUUAUGUGGUUAUGGAUAUUAUUCAUGGAUGAUUUUAUCGACAUGAAUGAUAGACAGACACACACACACAGUUUGGCCUCGGAUCAGGCGGGGAUACCCGCUGAACUUAAGCAUAUCAAUAAGCGGAGGAAAAGAAACCAACCGGGAUUGCCCCAGUAACGGCGAGUGAAGCGGCAACAGCUCAAAUUUGAAAUCUGGAGUCUUUGUUGGCUUCCGAGUUGUAAUUUGCAGAGGGAGCCUCGGAGGGCUGGUCGGUCCAAGUGCCUUGGAACAGGAUACCGCAGAGGGUGAGAGUCCCGUAUCCGGCCGACGCAGUGCUCCGUGUGAGGCCUCUUCGACGAGUCGAGUUGUUUGGGAAUGCAGCUCUAAGUGGGUGGUAAAUUCCAUCUAAAGCUAAAUACUGGCCAGAGACCGAUAGCGAACAAGUAGAGUGAUCGAAAGAUGAAAAGCACUUUGAAAAGAGAGUUAAACAGUACGUGAAAUUGUUGAAAGGGAAGCGCAUGGGGGCAGACUUGGACGCGGGGUUCAGGGUCUCUUUUUUGGAGGCGUGUACUUCCCCGCGGACAGGCCAGCAUCGGUUCUGGGGGCCGGACAAAGGCGACGGGAACGUGGCUCUCUUCGGGGAGUGUUAUAGCCCGACGUGCAAUGCGGCCACCUGGGACCGAGGACCGCGCUUCGGCAAGGAUGCUGGCGUAAUGGCCUCAUGCGGCCCGUCUGAAACACGGACCAAGGAGUCUAACAUCUAUGCGAGUGUUUGGGUGGCAAGCCCGGACGCGCAAUGAAAGUGAACGGAGGUGGGAGCCCUUUCCCUGCGUGGAGGGGGUGCAGCAUCGACCGAUCCGGACGUUUUCUGAAGGAUUUGAGUAAGAGCAUAGCUGUUGGGACCCGAAAGAUGGUGAACUAUGCGUGAAUAGGGUGAAGCCAGAGGAAACUCUGGUGGAGGCUCGCAGCGGUUCUGACGUGCAAAUCGAUCGUCAAAUUUGCGUAUAGGGGCGAAAGACUAAUCGAACCAUCUAGUAGCUGGUUCCUGCCGAAGUUUCCCUCAGGAUAGCAGUAACGCGCGGCAGUUUUAUGAGGUAAAGCGAACGAUUAGGGAGCUAGGGGUUGAAACAACCUUUAUCCAUUCUCGAACUUUAAAUAUGUAAGAAGUCCUUGUUGCUUUGUUGAACGUGGACACUCGAAUGCGGCGUUACUAGUGGGCCAUUUUUGGUAAGCAGAACUGGCGAUGCGGGAUGAACCGAACGUGGGGUUAAGGUGCCGGAAUGCACGCUCAUCAGACACCACAAAAGGUGUUGGUUCAUCCAGACAGCAGGACGGUGGCCAUGGAAGUCGGAAUCCGCUAAGGAGUGUGUAACAACUCACCUGCCGAAUGAACCAGCCCUGAAAAUGGAUGGCGCUCAAGCGUGCUACCCAUACCCCACCGUCUGCGCAAGAGGGUUUGCGUAGACGAGUAGGCAGGCGUGGAGGUUUUGUGACGAAGCCCAGGGCGUGAGCCCGGGUCGAAC